UACAGAGGGUGCAAGCGUUGUUCGGAAUCACUGGGCGUAAAGGGCGUGUAGGCGGCCUGUCAAGUCAGAUGUGAAAGCCCGCGGCUUAACCGCGGAAGCGCAUUUGAAACUGGCAGGCUUGAGUGUCAGAGGGGAAAGCGGAAUUCCCGGUGUAGAGGUGAAAUUCGUAGAUAUCGGGAGGAAUACCGGUGGCGAAGGCGGCUUUCUGGCUGAACACUGACGCUGAGACGCGAAAGCGCGGGGAGCAAACAGG
rnacentral:rRNA from 1 species